rnacentral:rRNA from 1 species
AUUGAACGCUGGCGGCAGGCUUAACACAUGCAAGUCGAGCGGGGUGAUGGUGCUUGCACUAUCACUUAGCGGCGGACGGGUGAGUAAUGCUUAGGAAUCUGCCUAUUAGUGGGGGACAACAUCUCGAAAGGGAUGCUAAUACCGCAUACGUCCUACGGGAGAAAGCAGGGGAUCACUUGUGACCUUGCGCUAAUAGAUGAGCCUAAGUCGGAUUAGCUAGUUGGUGGGGUAAAGGCCUACCAAGGCGACGAUCUGUAGCGGGUCUGAGAGGAUGAUCCGCCACACGGGGACUGAGACACGGCCCAGACUCCUACGGGAGGCAGCAGUGGGGAAUAUUGGACACUGGGGGGAACCCUGAUCCAGCCAUGCCGCGUGUGUGAAGGAGGCCUUAUGGUUGUAAAGCACUUUAAGCGAGGAGGAGGCUCUUUUGGUUAAUACCCAAGAUGAGUGGACGUUACUCGCAGAAUAAGCACCGGCUAACUCUGUGCCAGCAGCCGCCGUAA